rnacentral:RNase_P_RNA from 5 species
CCUCUUCAUCAGAUGAUCGCUCUCUGACAAUUGCGUCAGGGGGAGGAAAGUCCGAACACCGUCUUGAUAUUUCGACCUAUCGAUAUGUUGAGUCAGCGAUAGCGGCUAACGGCCGCCCAGCGUUUGUUUAAAUAUCUACAUGUUUAAACCGGCGUGGCGGGACAGUGUCACAGAGACCAUACUGCCAACCCGGUGCGAAAGCAUCGGCGGCGAGGGUGAAAAGAGUGAGGUAAGAGCUCACAUCAUGCGUUGGCAACAGCGCACGAAGAAAAACUCCUAUCCGGUGCAAGGGGAUCGCGCAAGCGAUGAACCGCUCGAUCCCGAUCAGCAAUGACGGGACCAGACAGAUGAUCAUCUCACGCGAGCAAUCGCGCGAACCGAAUUCGGCUUAUCGAUGAAGAGGGUAA